rnacentral:rRNA from 1 species
UACAGAGGGGGCAAGCGUUAUUCGGAAUUAUUGGGCGUAAAGGGCGCGUAGGCGGCUUGGCAAGUGGAAGGUGAAAUCCCUCGGCUCAACUGAGGAACUGCCUUCCAGACUGCUUUGCUUGAGUCCGGGAGAGGUGAGUGGAAUUCCCAGUGUAGCGGUGAAAUGCGUAGAUAUUGGGAGGAACACCAGUGGCGAAGGCGGCUCACUGGACCGGAACUGACGCUGAGGCGCGAAAGCGUGGGGAGCAAACGGGG